GAGUUUGAACCUGGCUCAGGAUGAACGCUGGCGGCGUGCUUAACACAUGCAAGUCGAACGAAGCGGUUGCAGGGAUUCCCCUCGGGGAGGAACGGUAACUGUCUGAGUGGCGGACGGGUGAGUAACGCGUGGGCAACCUGCCCCAUACCGGGGGAUAACAGCCGGAAACGGCUGCUAAUACCGCAUACGCCCAGGAGGCUGCAUAGCUUCCUGGGGAAAACUCCGGUGGUAUGGGAUGGGCCCGCGUCUGAUUAGCUCGUUGGCGGGGUAACGGCCCACCAAGGCGACGAUCAGUAGCCGGCCUGAGAGGGCGGCCGGCCACAUUGGGACUGAGACACGGCCCAGACUCCUGCGGGAGGCAGCAGUGGGGAAUAUUGCACAAUGGGGGAAACCCUGAUGCAGCGACGCCGCGUGAGCGAUGAAGUAUCUCGGUAUGUAAAGCUCUAUCAGCAGGGAAGAAAGUGACAGUACCUGACUAAGAAGCCCCGGCUAACUACGCGCCAGCAGCCGCGGUAAUACGUAGGGGGCAAGCGUUAUCCGGAUUCACUGGGCGUAAAGGGAGCGCAGGCGGCACGGCAAGUCUGGUGUGAAAACCCGGGGCUCAACCCCGGGACUGCAUUGGAAACUGCCGGGCUGGAGUGUCGGAGGGGUAAGCGGAAUUCCUAGUGUAGCGGUGAAAUGCGUAGAUAUUAGGAGGAACACCAGUGGCGAAGGCGGCUUACUGGACGAUGACUGAC
rnacentral:rRNA from 1 species